rnacentral:rRNA from 1 species
AGAGUUUGAUCAUGGCUCAGAUUGAACGCUGGCGGCAUGCCUUAUACAUGCAAGUCGAACGGUAACGCGGGGGCAACCUGGCGACGAGUGGCGAACGGGUGAGUAAUGUAUCGGAACGUGCCCAGUAGUGGGGGAUAGCCCGGCGAAAGCCGGAUUAAUACCGCAUACGACCUACGGGUGAAAGGGGGGGGAUCGCAAGACCUCUCGCUAUUGGAGCGGCCGAUAUCAGAUUAGCUAGUUGGUGGGGUAAAGGCUCACCAAGGCAACGAUCUGUAGCUGGUCUGAGAGGACGACCAGCCACACUGGGACUGAGACACGGCCCAGACUCCUACGGGAGGCAGCAGUGGGGAAUUUUGGACAAUGGGCGCAAGCCUGAUCCAGCCAUGCCGCGUGCGGGAAGAAGGCCUUCGGGUUGUAAAGCUCUUUCGACGGGGACGAUAAUGACGGUACCCGUAGAAGAAGCCCCGGCUAACUUCGUG